rnacentral:rRNA from 1 species
CGCUGUUAUCCCUAAGGUAAUUUAGUCUUAUAGUCACUAAAAAUGGAUCAAAAAUAUAUAAUGUAUAUAAAAAUAAAAAGAGUUAUAUUAAUCUUCCCAUCACCCCAACAAAAUUUACAUAAUAUUAAAUUAUUAACCCACAAAAAAUAUAAAUUAAAUCAAACUCUAUAGGGUCUUCUCGUCCCAAAAAAAUAUUUAGGCAUUUUAACCUAAAAUUUAAGUUCAAAAAAAAUAAAAAUUUAAGACAGUAAAUACCUUGUCAAAUCAUUCAUUCCAGUCUUCAAUUAAAAAACUAAUGAUUAUGCUACCUUUGCACAGUCAAAAUACUGCGGCCAUUUNAAAUUCAGUGGGCAGAUACUACANCAANUAUAUACAAGAUGCGAUGUUUUUGUUAAACAGGCG